AUUGAACGCUGGCGGCAUGCUUUACACAUGCAAGUCGAACGGUAACAGGGUGCUUGCACCGCUGACGAGUGGCGAACGGGUGAGUAAUGCGUCGGAACGCACCGAGUAAUGGGGGAUAACGCAGCGAAAGCUGUGCUAAUACCGCAUACGCUCUGAGGAGGAAAGCGGGGGAUCGUAAGACCUCGCGUUAUUCGAGCGGCCGACGUCUGAUUAGCUAGUAGGUGAGGUAAGAGCUCACCUAGGCGACGAUCAGUAGCGGGUCUGAGAGGAUGAUCCGCCACACUGGGACUGAGACACGGCCCAGACUCCUACGGGAGGCAGCAGUGGGGAAUUUUGGACAAUGGGCGAAAGCCUGAUCCAGCCAUGCCGCGUGUCUGAAGAAGGCCUUCGGGUUGUAAAGGACUUUUGUCAGGGAGGAAAUCCCUAGUGCUAAUAACACUGGGGGAUGACAGUACCUGAAGAAUAAGCAUCGGCUAACUACGUGCCAGCCGCCGCCGUAA
rnacentral:rRNA from 1 species